rnacentral:rRNA from 1 species
GCAAGUCGAGCGAGAACGCCUCCUUCGGGAGGUUAGUAAAGCGGCGAACGGGUGAGUAACACGUGAGCGAUCUACCCGACGGCGGGGGAUAACCCAGGGAAACCUGAGCUAAUACCGCAUACAGCACCGGCUUGGAAGCCGGAUGUGAAAGCUGGCCUCUCGAAGAAGCUGGCACCAUCGGAUGAGCUCGCGGCCUAUCAGCUAGUUGGUGGGGUAAUGGCCUACCAAGACGAUGAUGCAUAGCCGACCUGAGAGGGUGAUC